GAACUGCUCAAAUGUCACUGCGACAUUUGCAAGGAUCAAAAUUACGUGUGCGAAACCGAUGGCCUGUGCUUUACGUCCCUCUCGCUGGACAAGGGCGUCUACAAGUACUCUUACAGCUGCCAGCCGAAAAAGUACGAUCUGGCCGAUCGGCCCCCGCUCAGCUGUCUCACCUCGAAGGAAAAGCGCAAUACGUUCACGAUCGAGUGCUGCUCGACCGAUUUCUGCAACCAUAACAAACUUUUGCAACUCCCCAAGCCAGGUACACCCAAACAGACUGUGGUCUCGAUAUUUAACUCUCUCUUUUUUUCGCUCAUUUUAAUUUGUUUUGAGUCCUUCGGCUCUCUCGAGCCGAGUGAUUCGUUCCUGAUUGUUUUCUUGUAAAUUUUAAACUGUAGAAUUUGCAAAUCCUUCGCUCUUCGCUCUCACUUACUUUUUUUGGUCAGGUUCAAAGGUUCCCAGUUUUAUUUUUUCUCUUUUCUUUUAGUUCCUAGUCGCUUGAAGAAUGGCUUCGUUCGAAUGACUUUCUAAUCUCGUGGAUGGAGCUGAGCACUUUUAUUAUUAUUUCGGAUGUUCGGUAGCUAAUCUUUUCAUUGCUGAAUGGAGAAACACGUAAAUUCCUAUCUCACUCAAUGCAACGUGACUAACUUUUAUUUGCAAGUAGCUCGCUCUCUAAAGUAGUAUUGAAUCCGCUGUAUAAUUUGGUUGCUGUAGUUCUAAGUUAGUUUCUAAAUCGAAUGUUGUAAAUAAUUUCCACUCAUGAUUUCAGCGGGCUGUUGGUUCUUCUUCUGUAGUUAGAAUGUUUCUUUAACUGCAAUGCAUUAACUUCGGUUAAGGUUUUGUAAAUAUUACUCUGUUUUUCUAUAUAAUAUUUAUAUUUAGGUACAAUAUUUUAAAAUUUGAUGACAAAAUUAUAAGCGGUCAGGUAAGUGUAGUUUUUCACAAAAUAUCAAACAUGUUUUUUUAUAUAUCAUUUUUCAGGAAGUCUGAUUUUAUUAAGACAAAAAAGCAAAAAAAAAUGUAAGGAUUAUUCUUCUAUCCUCAAAAAAAAUUUAUUUCCUAUAGUUUUCUUAUCCCUUCUCAAACCAAACAGAAGCGAAAAACUAGCAACAAAAUCAAGAUUUCCGUUUCCACAUUUCCAGACCAAAUCUUUGGGGAAAAAUCACAUUAUAACGCCAAUGUUGCGAGCGCUUCACGAGAAACGCUUUUCUCGUUCUUCUGAUGUAAACAUUUUAGUGCUAUUUUAAUAUUUUAUCUUAGUUUUUACGGGAUUCCUCUCUCCGGACUCAUUCACCCCAUUCUCCUAUCCCUCGGCAAAACAGGAAACGAGUAAUUCACUCGGAAAAUUUAGCCAUCGGAGAAAACUCGCGAAACACAAAAUCCCCGGGUAUAAAACCAGCCAAAGGAAGAAAGAAAAACCACCCCCAUCAUCAAACUUGAUGCACCCCACUCAAAGCUCGGUUCUGUGAAGGACGUAGAAGUGAGGUUAGGUUACGCGCGAAACUUUCGUCCGUGAGAAUCCUUCGUGUGUACACCUUCACUCACAUUCGAGUUGCUUGCUACACCGAUAACAGGGAGAGUACUCAAUUUUAUGACCAACACGAAAGGAUCUUUGUUGUCGUCCUGUCCUGGUUCAAUUUGGUUGAGGAUGGGGGAUUUUCACGUUCGGGCUAUUUGACCGUCCGUUGGAGAGUUUGAUGAACAAAGAUAGAUGGGUUUCUAUGUACCUUUUCAGAGGGUUGUUCCUUUUUUUUAAAUUCUUAUGGCUGUAUAGUGAAAAAUCGUAAAAUAGUAGAUGCAUAGCGUAGAAGUGGGGGGAUUUCCUGCACAAAUAAGUAUGUACAUUAGACUGAGUCGAUUUGGGGUCAUUUUUUAAUUUCUCAAACCCUGGACUCUAAAAAGCUUCAUCUUGGUCCAAAACUCAUCAAUGAUUUUUUGUAGAAUUUUUAAGUAACGAUUACAUGAGUAAAUUUGAACUUUUAGGUUUGUAUGGGAAAAUUGAAUAUUUUGUUCUGAAAAAUCAACAUCGUUUUUGAUCCUUCUGAGGAGCCGAGCCAGCUGACAGUUUGUGUGCCAAUUUAUAAAGUUCCUAAGGAAAAUUUGGCAAAAAAGUUAUUAGCUGUUUAACAGAGGUAUAUCUUUUCACAUUGUUAAACAACAAAUUGAAUCGACAUCACUGCUGGAGCCUCGCGAAGUAUUGCAAGAAAAGAAGUCAUGCAACACCUCACUAGGCGCCCUGCAGUGAUGUCAAUUGAAUUAGUUGUUUAUCAAUGCGAAAAGACAUAUCCUCAUACAACACCUAAUAACAUUUUUGCCUAAUAAGAUACGAAGCGUAAAAUUUUCCUUAGGAAUUUUAUAAAUUGGCACAAAAACUGUCAGCUGGCCCGGUUCCACAGAAGAAACAAAAAUGAUGUUGAUUUUUCAGAACAAAUUUUAAAUUUUCCCAUACAAACCUAAAAAUUCAAAUUUAUGUAAACGUUACUUAAAAACUUUACAAAAAAUCAUGGAUGAGUUUUGAACCAAGAUGAAGCUUUUUAGACCCCAGGGUUUGAGAAAUUCAAAAAUUACCUCAAAUCGACACAGUCUAAUGUACAUAUACAUUUUCAACAAUCACAUAACUAUUUUCCAUUUUUUUCCAAAGCAAAUUUCUACACACAUUUUUGUAAGACUGUGGACUUAUUCCUUUGGCAAUUAGCAUUUAGCUUAGCAAUAAAAAUAAAAAUUCAGCAAAAACAGAACAAUCAAAACAGUUCCGCUCUAAAUAACCAAAAUCAACCAGAACGUGAAUAAAAAAUUUCAAUACCGAAAUAAAGAACUGAAGGAAGUUUCGAAAAAAAACAUAUUCAUUUCAAUAAAUCGGAGAAAAUUACAAAAAAAAAGCCUGUACGAUAUUAAAAAACAUAUUGAUUAGGUUAAAAAAAUAAAAUAAUUCAUUGCAAAGAUAAAAAAAAACAAUUGUAUUUAAACUCUUUUCUAGCAACAAAUAAGACUGGGUAUUAAACUGAGUCGAUUUGGGGUCAUUUUUUAUUUUAUCAAAAGCUUUUUCUUGGUUCAAAACUCUUCCAUUUUUUGCAGGAUUUUUAAGUAGCGUUUUCAUGAGUAAAUUGGAAAUUUUAGGUUUUUAUAGGAAAAAAUUGAAUAUUUUGGACUGAA